UACCCUAAAGACUGGGAUAACACCUCGAAAGGGGUGCUAAUACCGGAUACGCUCGCAAUCUCGUCGGAGGUUGCGAGGAAAGGUGGCGGAAGGCGCAAGCCUGCUACCACUUUUGGAUGGGCCCGCGUCCUAUUAGCUAGUUGGUGGGGUAAUGGCCUACCAAGGCGAUGAUGGGUAGCUGGUCUGAGAGGACGACCAGCCACACUGGGACUGAGACACGGCCCAGACUCCUACGGGAGGCAGCAGUGGGGAAUAUUUGUCAAUGGGCGAAAGCCUGAACAAGCGACGCCGCGUGGGCGAUGAAGGUCCUUGGAUCUUAAAGCCCUGUUCGGGGGAACGAAUGGAUCGGGAGCAAAUAGUUCCCGGUCUUUGACGGUACCUCCGCAGAAAGCCCCGGCUAACUACGUGCCAGCAGCCGCGGUAAUACGUAGGGGGCAAGCGUUGUCCGGAAUCACUGGGCGUAAAGGGCGUGUAGGCGACCCUUUAAGUUGAAUGUGAAAUCUCUCGGCUCAACUGAGAGCGGUCAUUCAAUACUGGAGGGAUACGAGGACGGAAGAGGGAAGUGGAAUUCUCGGUGUAGCGGUAAAAUGCGUAGAUAUCGAGAGGAACACCGGUGGCGAAGGCGGCUUCCUGGUCCGUUCCUGACGCUGAGGCGCGAAAGCUUGGGUAGCAAACGGGAUUAGACACCCCCGGUAGUCCAGGCCCUAAACGUUGAUUACUAGGUGUUGGAGAGGUUCAAUCUCUUCAGUGCCGCAGCUAACGCGAUAAGUAAUCCACCUGGGGAGUACGGCCGCAAGACUGAAACUCAAAGGAAUUGACGGGCCCCCGCACAAGCAGCGGAGCGUGUGGUUUAAUUCGAUGGUACACGAAGAACCUUACCGGGG
rnacentral:rRNA from 1 species